GACGAACGCUGGCGGCGUGCUUAACACAUGCAAGUCGAACGGAAAGGCCCUGCUUUUGUGGGGUGCUCGAGUGGCGAACGGGUGAGUAACACGUGAGUAACCUGCCCUUGACUUUGGGAUAACUUCAGGAAACUGGGGCUAAUACCGGAUAGGAGCUCCUGCUGCAUGGUGGGGGUUGGAAAGUUUCGGCGGUUGGGGAUGGACUCGCGGCUUAUCAGCUUGUUGGUGGGGUAGUGGCUUACCAAGGCUUUGACGGGUAGCCGGCCUGAGAGGGUGACCGGCCACAUUGGGACUGAGAUACGGCCCAGACUCCUACGGGAGGCAGCAGUGGGGAAUAUUGCACAAUGGGAGGAAGCCUGAUGCAGCAACGCCGCGUGCGGGAUGACGGCCUUCGGGUUGUAAACCGCUUUCGCCUGUGACGAAGCGUGAGGGACGGUAAUGGGUAAAGAAGCACCGGCUAACUACGUG
rnacentral:rRNA from 1 species